rnacentral:lncRNA from 1 species
GUAUGGGGGACUUUUGGUAUAGCAUUGGAAAUGUAAAUGAGCUAAAUACCUAAUAAAAAAUGGAAAGAAAAAAAAAAACAAAAAAAACAAACCCUACAUGUUCUAGGACUGUCAAUAAUAGGCUCAGUGGUUAAGAGUACUGGCUGUCCUUCUAGUGGUCCUGAGUUCAAUUCCCAACAAUCACAUGGUGGCUCGUAGCCAUCUGUAAUGGGAUCUGUUUCCCAUUCCCUCCUGUUUGAUGCCCUCUUUUGUUGUGCAAGCAUACAGCAAAUAGAGCACUCAUACAUAAAAUAAAUCUUUUUAAAAACUACAUAUUUUAUCUAGAUGACUCUUCUAAAUAAAGGAUAUUAAUUGUCAUGGCCAAAAAGAACAUUGGUCUGGGAGUCAGUCCUUUUUUUUUUUUAAUUUUUAUUAACUUAUAAAUGGCAGAACUUACAUUUAUAUAGUCAGAUUUCUUUUUAAUGAUUUAUGCAUUUUUAUUUUAUAUGCAAUCUCUUAGGAUUCUUGGUCUUUUUGGGUUGGGCUGGAGAUUGAACCCAGAACUUGUACAAGCUGAGUAAGUGCUCUACCAUUGAUCAACAUCACAGAUUAAUUUUCUCUUUUCUAUGAGAACAUUAAUAGUGUCUACCCUAGAUGAGUGUGAUGGUGUAUGCUUGUAAUUCUAUCGCUCAGGAAGCUGAGGCAGGGGGGUUGCCACGAGUGUUGGACUAGUUUAGGUUACAUAGCAAAGACUCUGCGUCAAAAGCAAAAGGAGGACAGAUGAGAUGUCCUGGAGUGCUAAGAGUGCUCACCUCUAAGCCUAAGGAGCUGAGGUCAAUCCCCAGGGCCUACUCCAUGGAAGGAGAGGACCUCUGAGCUCCACAGUGUACAUGCUCUCUCCCUCCCUGAAGCAUGCUUGGGUCCACACACACUCAAAUAAAUAGAAUUAUGUUUCACAUACACAAGCAAAUGUAAUUAUUUACUUGGGGGAAAAGGGUCGGGGUCUCACUACAUCACCUUGCCUGGCCAGCAACUCAAUAUUUAGAGCAAGCUAGCCUUGAAUUAAGAAAUCAGCCUCUCCUUCACUCCAGAAACACUUACAUUUUCUCCAACAGUGACAUCUUGGAAGAAUGGACUCAGUCACGAUAAGAGACUGGGUUCCAAUCUUUUUACUG